ensembl:lncRNA uncharacterized LOC110081127
ACAUAUUGUACUGGAUCUCUACCUGACCUUAAGUGACCCUGUUUAGCCCAUACUGGGCUACCAGCUCAUGUAGCCAAGCUCUCGGUGACUCAGGCUGUGGGGAAGAGUCAGCCACUCUUCAAAGAUGACCAGGCAGCUGUCAAUGGUACAAAACAAUAUGUCAUAGCCUUCUCUGCCACAGCCUGCUGCUGCCACCACCACCAUCUUCUCCCUCCCUCCCCUGUAAAUGUGUUUCUGUGGCAGCAGUGGUGAGGACCAUGGCAGCAAUAAGAGCUGCCACCACUCCUGGCAAUAGCCCACUCCUUGAGGGGACCAACUAAUACCAGCUAAUGGCCAGGCAAGUUCUCAGAGUAUUUGAAAGGGAAUCUGUUUCCUGCCAGCAUACACUGGCAGCAGAGCAAACAGCUCCGGGUCACCUGAUUUACCUCCCUGAAGGGUUGAGAAAGAAUUGGAAAAGAUAUCCUAUCAGUUACUGUACAAGAGAGUUGCUGGGCACAAAUGCAUCGCUGGCUAAGAAAAAUAAACCACAUGCGAUGACUGCUCACUUGAUCUUGGUUGAAAGGAGAUGCCACGAUCCUGCAGUGCUCCUGCCACUAGCUGGUAGGAUCCCAUAUGAUAACCAUCAAUAAAGUAUCAUUGAUGCUCUGGCCCUGCCCUCCAUUCACAUCCCACCAGAAGCUGUACUCAAUUUUCAGCUGCACUCAGCUGUGCCUUUUUGAUUCCUCCUUGGCUUCCAGGAGGCAUAAAAGGUCCUUCGGGACUCCUUUCUUUCUUCAAGCAGUGAAACCUUGGUCACUGGGCUACCUUUUUAGUGGUGAUUCCCUCUGGUGGGGUGAGUACUUUUCCUUUCUGUCUGAAUCUUUUUGAACCACAAAGGACUCUGUUUUAUGCAGGUAUGAGAAGCAUCUCCUGAUAAAUAAUAUAUUUUUGUUUGUGCAGGCAUUUCUUUCUUAGUUGUGUGGGGAGAAAGUUGGCAGGUGAGUAAUAUAAGUAAAGUGAUGCAUGUGAGAGCUUCUUUCUUUGCAAUGCAUACUUUAGGCGUAGCCUAUCUGAGGGAAUCUGGAAGCGAGAGCUGAAACAAGUUUCUCCAUGUUUCUCAUAUCUAUGAAACUUCAUCGCUGUGGUGGAAACACCUGCCUCCUUUUCCCCAAAAGAAUCAAGUUACCCUGUUGUUAGUUGACCUCUUUGGCUGAACUCAAAGGAUUUAGAGUUAUUCUUUUUUUUUCCUUGUUAUUCUUCUAGACCUGUGGUUCUCUUGCAUUUCCAUGAACCUGGCUACUCUCGCAGUGUCCACCCACAUGUUCUUUUGGGCAGAGUUUUUGAAGAAUUACAUUUCUGAUGUACUCUUCCCAGAAAUUCCCAAGUGGCAUGGCUAGUGCUGUGGUUCUCAAUGUUGGGGCCCUGGAAGGUUCUUGGUCUAAAACUCCCAGAAGUCUUCCCCACUAGCUGUCCUGGCCAGGAUUUCUGGGAGUUGUUGUCCAAGAAUAUGUGGAGACCCAAGGUUGGGAGCUAUUGGGCUAGUGGCUGUGCUAGUUGUUGGUGGGGGGAAUAUGGGAUUAGUAGUCCAAGCAAAAUUACUAUUUGAAGCUCUACCCUGAAGUUGCUUUUUUUCCCAUCCAAACUCUUGGCUUAUUUAUUUGCGAUGUUGUCAGAGAAGACAUUUCUUAUGGGUUCACCUUGCCUUGUUCAUGGAAUGUAGUAGGGAUCCAGCUAAAAUCAUUUUCUAUUUGUAACCAAACUCUUGUUUCCUUACCCCUUUCCCCUUGUUUAUAAUUUUAAAAAGCCAGUGUGGAAUUAAAAAAAAAACACCAGAAUCAUCUAUGUAUACAGUACUCUUCAAGCACUCCAAGAGCUCAGAUGCACCAUUUCACAUUGUGAUUCUCCUUUUGUCAUUUGGAAAAAGAAGUUAAAAUGUAAUGUAAAGAAUGGCAUGUAAAAAAAUCUUAUGGUAUUUGUAAAAUGCAUGGCACUAAAAUUUUAUUUAGCUUUAUAAUUACACUGUAGGUUGAGGUGAAAGAGGAUAAUGAAGACACAAGGUGGUGAAAAGAGGCUUAACUUGAGAGUUCUGAUAUUCUGGAGGAGCACUUAAAAACCCCAUAAAACUAUUUCACACUGCAGUAUUACUCUGCAACCAGUUAAAACUCUUACCAGAACAACCCGUCUUAAAUGCCAAAGGCCUAUCAGAUUGCAAGGAUGUUCAGUCUAGCUUCCCUUAGGAGGUAGUUUUAGAGCUGGGAAUGGGCACCAGAAACUAUGAUGGUCUACAGCAGUGGUUCUUAACCUUGGGUAACCCAGGUGUACUUGGACUGCAAUUCCCAGAAGCCUUCUCCACCAGCUAUGCUGGUUGGGGCUUCUGGGAAUUGUAGUCCAAGAACACCUGGGUUACCCAAGGCUAAGAACCACAGGUCUACAGAAACCAGAGUUCACCAAAAACAGUAGUUUCAGGUCAUGGCUACCUACCAUGACUGGUGGCUUUCUGGGAUGCUGGGCACCGACCUUAUCCUCACAUCAGCUCCUGAGUCCUUCAACCAUAGCCUAAAUCUAGAAUGACCUGCUGCAUGCAAAGCGUGUGCUCUGGCCUUGACCUUGACCAAGGUAUCCUCAGUGGGCCAGUUUAAGAGCUGAGAUAGGCAAACAUGCAUAUAUCCUCUCAUGCUGUGCCUCUCUUCUUCGUUGCUUCAUGCAAUGUUUCAGAAUGGGACUGGGGGGGGGUCCACCAGUGCUCCUGAAGCCCUCACAAAUAAAAUUGUGGGUAGCUUGUCCUCUACA